AGCUCCUCUUUUAGGAUUGGCUGCCCCUCCGCAUCCAUAAUGUAAUUAAAACAAGGGGGGAAAAAUUAUCAUGGAGGCAGAGGUUAAUGCAAGUGUUCAGCAGAUGCCUUACUGUAAAAUCUGCGUUAAAAAAAAAAAAAAAAACAAAAAACCAAAAACCAAACAAACCCAAACAACCAACAACCAAAAACCGACAAUCAAAAAAACAACAAACUCAUUAAAACGUAAAUAUCGGAUAAUCCCCAACCAGCUUGCUGCCUGCCUACGCCUACCUCGACCAGUACUCGCCCGAAUGACUUACGCUCCUGAAAUCAGUUUCAUGCUUGUUUAACUGGUCUGAUCGGAAAGUAACUGAAGAAGCCGAAAAAUGGAGAACCGAGUGUCAUGUACCUCCUCAUACCUGCAGGGAAACGGAACCGUGGCCAAAACGUCGGGUGUAAAUGCGACAACAAAAAAUAAAUAUUUUACAUCACGGAGCAGAACAUAUUUUACUAAGU